UACGGGGGGGGCAAGCGUUGUUCGGAAUUACUGGGCGUAAAGGGCGCGUAGGCGGCCCGCUAAGUCGAACGUGAAAUCCCCGAGCUCAACUCGGGAACUGCGUCCGAUACUGGCGGGCUUGAAUCCGGGAGAGGGAUGCGGAAUUCCAGGUGUAGCGGUGAGAUGCGUAGAUAUCUGGAGGAACACCGGUGGCGAAGGCGGCAUCCUGGACCGGCAUUGACGCUGAGGCGCGAAAGCCAGGGGAGCAAACGGG
rnacentral:rRNA from 1 species